rnacentral:rRNA from 1 species
AGUCACUGACAUUAGACUACCCGGUAGUCCAGGGUGUAAGCGCUGCAGACUUGGUGUUGGAAUCCUUCGAGGGUAUUCGGUGCCGGAGAGAAGUUGUUAAGUCUGCUACGUUGGGAGUACGUCCGCAAGGAUGAAACUUAAAGGAAUUGGCGGGGGAGCACCACAACGGGUGGAGCCUGCGGUUUAAUUGGAUUCAACACCGUAAAACUCACCAGGGAAGACUGUUACAUGAAGGCCGAGAUGAAGACUCUGCUAGAUUUUCAG